GCCCAGCUAACUCAAUUGGUAAAGUAUGAGACUUUUAAUCUUAAGACUGCGGGUUCGAGCCCCGUGUUAAGCU